UACGAAGGGUGCAAGCGUUAAUCGGAAUUACUGGGCGUAAAGCGUGCGCAGGCGGUUAUGCAAGACAGAUGUGAAAUCCCCGGGCUCAACCUGGGAACUGCAUUUGUGACUGCAUGGCUAGAGUGCGGCAGAGGGGGAUGGAAUUCCGCGUGUAGCAGUGAAAUGCGUAGAUAUGCGGAGGAACACCGAUGGCGAAGGCAAUCCCCUGGGCCUGCACUGACGCUCAUGCACGAAAGCGUGGGGAGCAAACAGG
rnacentral:rRNA from 1 species